AUACGGAGGGGGCUAGCGUUGUUCGGAAUUACUGGGCGUAAAGCGCACGUAGGCGGCUUUGUAAGUCAGAGGUGAAAGCCUGGAGCUCAACUCCAGAACUGCCUUUGAGACUGCAUCGCUUGAAUCCAGGAGAGGUCAGUGGAAUUCCGAGUGUAGAGGUGAAAUUCGUAGAUAUUCGGAAGAACACCAGUGGCGAAGGCGGCUUACUGGACUGGUAGUGACGCUGAGGUGCGAAAGCGUGGGGAGCAAACAGGAUUAGAAACCCUAGUAGUCC
rnacentral:rRNA from 1 species